AUUUGCUCCCUCAAAGCGGAAGUGAGGCCGGACUGAGGCUCUUACAGUGGUCCCUGCUGGCCCUUGGUGACGGGUCGCCUCAGUUCCGACCCGGACCCGUACGCUGCUGCGCUGACGUGGCUCCCGGAAGUAGGGCUGGCGUAGGGCCGCCAUGUUGCAGCAGGAUAGUAAUGAUGACACUGAAGAUGUUUCACUGUUUGAUGCGGAAGAGGAGACGACUAAUAGACCAAGAAAAGCCAAAAUCAGAAUGUCACAGGUAGACUAAUGGUUGGCCUACGUUGGUGGAAUCACAUUGAUGAAGAUGGAAAGAGCCAUUGGGUGUUUGAAUCUAGAAAGGAGUCCUCUCAAGAGAAUAAAACUGUGUCAGAGGCUGAAUCAAGAAUCUUUUGGUUGGGACUUAUUGCCUGUCCAGUACUGUGGGUGAUAUUUGCUUUUAGUGCACUCUUCUCCUUCAGAGUAAAGUGGUUGGCGGUGGUUAUCAUGGGUGUGGUGCUACAAGGUGCCAACCUGUAUGGUUACAUCAGGUGUAAGGUGCGCAGCAGAAAGCAUUUAACCAGCAUGGCUACUUCAUAUUUUGGAAAGCAGUUUUUAAGACAAAACACUGGAGAUGAUCAGACUUCCUGAAUAGAGAAAGCUUAUGUGCUUUGUUACAUUGGGGAACAACUGAAGAGAUUCUUGACUCAACCUUUUAGAGCUUAGUCCAUGUUGCAACGAGGAG
rnacentral:lncRNA from 1 species